AGUGAACGCUGGCGGCAGGCCUAAUACAUGCAAGUCGAACGGCAGCACAGCAGAGCUUGCUCUGUGGGUGGCGAGUGGCGGACGGGUGAGGAAUACAUGGGAAUCUGCCCAGUCGUGGGGGAUAACGUAUGGAAACGUACGCUAAUACCGCAUGCGCCCUACGGGGGAAAGCCGGGGACCGCAAGGCCUGGCGCGAUUGGAUGAGCCCAUGUUCGAUUAGCUAGUUGGCGGGGUAAAGGCCCACCAAGGCGACGAUCGAUAGCUGGUCUGAGAGGAUGAUCAGCCACACUGGAACUGAGACACGGUCCAGACUCCUACGGGAGGCAGCAGUGGGGAAUUUUGGACAAUGGGGGCAACCCUGAUCCAGCCAUGCCGCGUGAGUGAAGAAGGCCCUCGGGUUGUAAAGCUCUUUUGUCCGGAAAGAAAGCAAUCGGUUAAUACCCGGUUGUUCUGACGGUACCGGAAGAAUAAGCACCGGCUAACUUCGUGCCAGC
rnacentral:rRNA from 1 species